rnacentral:lncRNA from 1 species
ACCUCUGAGGCACAGGGGAUCUGAAGGGGGCAGGACAAAGGUAGGACAGGAGUUUUGUUUCAAAAAUACAGAAGCUGCUUCUGACCUAAUUGAUCAAAACUGCUUUUCUUCAGGAAACUGCAAAAUAUCUUCUUUUCAAGGCAAAUGAAUUUGGAGACUGGUGAGAGAGAGAAAGGGUGGCUGUGGUAGAGGAAAUAUUUUUAUCCAGGCCUCAGGAAAUGGUGGUCUGGCU